rnacentral:rRNA from 1 species
GAGGUAUCAAAAGUGACUAUGCUGACAUGAGUAACGAAAAUCAUGUACAAUCAUGAUCACCGUAUGUUCAAGGGUUUCUGCGUCCUGGUUUACAGCGCAGAGUUAUGUCCGGUCCCUAAGAGACACAC